CUGCUCUCUCCCAGCUACUCACUGUCAUCACUAUUCUUGGGUAUCAGGCUCCGGAUUGGGGGUAAGGGUACAGGGUUCUUCCAGUUCAUUGUGUAAUGACAUAUUUUAAAACCAUAGCUUAAAGAGACUUAAAACAGAUUUGUAAAAAGAAGACAUUUCACUAAAAAUG